GAUGGACGCUAGCUACAGGCUUAACACAUGCAAGUCGAGGGGAAACGACAUCGAAAGCUUGCUUUUGAUGGGCGUCGACCGGCGCACGGGUGAGUAACGCGUAUCCAACCUGCCCAUCACUUGGGAAUAACCUUGCGAAAGUAAGACUAAUACCCAAUGAUAUCCCACGAAGGCAUCGGAAUGGGAUUAAAGAUUUAUCGGUGAUGGAUGGGGAUGCGUCUGAUUAGCUUGUUGGCGGGGUAACGGCCCACCAAGGCAACGAUCAGUAGGGGUUCUGAGAGGAAGGUCCCCCACAUUGGAACUGAGACACGGUCCAAACUCCUACGGGAGGCAGCAGUGAGGAAUAUUGGUCAAUGGGCGAGAGCCUGAACCAGCCAAGUAGCGUGCAGGAAGACGGCCCUAUGGGUUGUAAACUGCUUUUAUAAGGGAAUAAAGUGGGUCACGUGUGACUUUUUGCAUGUACCUUAUGAAUAAGGACCGGCUAAUUCCGUG
rnacentral:rRNA from 1 species